AACUGGCCAUUAACUUAACCAAUUCUAAACUUUCAGACUUCCAAAAAUACCCUUUGGUGCUUAAGAAUUUGCUGUAAUCUAACUGAACAACCCUAAAGCUUAGAAGUGAUCCUAGGUUCAAUUCACCACAGCCCCUAAAGUAAUUAAGCUAAUUCAAACAGACUCUAAAAUUAAGCUAGAUCAAACAUACAAGAUUAAUUAACUGGGAUCCAAACAUCUACACACAUCGAGAGCCUUUGAACUAUUACUACAAGAACAAUAUUAUAGAAG
rnacentral:lncRNA from 1 species